rnacentral:rRNA from 1 species
GACGAACGCUGGCGGCGUGCUUAACACAUGCAAGUCGAACGGAAAGGCCCUGCUUUUGUGGGGUGCUCGAGUGGCGAACGGGUGAGUAACACGUGAGUAACCUGCCCUUGACUUUGGGAUAACUUCAGGAAACUGGGGCUAAUACCGGAUAGGAGCUCCUGCUGCAUGGUGGGGGUUGGAAAGUUUCGGCGGUUGGGGAUGGACUCGCGGCUUAUCAGCUUGUUGGUGGGGUAGUGGCUUACCAAGGCUUUGACGGGUAGCCGGCCUGAGAGGGUGACCGGCCACAUUGGGACUGAGAGACGGCCCAGACUCCUACGGGAGGCAGCAGUGGGGAAUAUUGCACAAUGGGCGGAAGCCUGAUGCAGCAACGCCGCGUGCGGGAUGACGGCCUUCGGGUUGUAAACCGCUUUCGCCUGUGACGAAGCGUGAGUGACGGUAAUGGGUAAAGAAGCACCGGCGAACUACGU